UUGGGGUCGUAUUUGGCUUUCGGUUGUUUGCUUGGCUCUUUAGCCUUGUGGGUGGUCGUUUCCCAGGGCGGCUUCGGGGAUGUCUAUCGUAAAGGUGCAUGAGUGGUGUUUGGUUUGAUACGGGUGGUUGGCUCCCUGCUUGAGCAGGCACGGCCACGCGUACAUUCCUUUUCAGUUGUGCGGCAAGGCUUGUAUUGUCUUGAUCGUAUAUGUGGGUUUCUUGUGUUGCAUACCUGAUCAAUGGCAUCGUUUUGAUCAAAAACGUACCUUUUUUCGUCGGGCGUUGCACCUGCAACGUCGGAUGAACAGUGCAGCAUCCUCUUUGGUCCAUAUAGUCGAUGAGCAUUCGUUGAUUGUUUGGCCCGUUGAGGGUGGCUUGGUCUCUCGGAUAUGGAAGCCAAAGUGGGCAUGGGUUCGUAUGAUCCUUUUAUUGCCCUCGUUGAGCGUUCUCGCUUCUCUUACACGACCGCCUUUCAUGUAUGGCAAGUCCCAGCGUGUUUGGCUAUGUCGAAGAGGAAUGCUACC
rnacentral:misc_RNA from 1 species